GAGUUUGAUCCUGGCUCAGGAUGAACGCUGGCGGCGUGCCUAAUACAUGCAAGUCGAACGCACAGCGAAAGGUGCUUGCACCUUUCAAGUGAGUGGCGAACGGGUGAGUAACACGUGGACAACCUGCCUCAAGGCUGGGGAUAACAUUUGGAAACAGAUGCUAAUACCGAAUAAAACUUAGUGUCGCAUGACACAAAGUUAAAAGGCGCUUCGGCGUCACUGGAGAUGGAUCCGCGGUGCAUUAGUUAGUUGGUGGGGUAAAGGCCUACCAAGACAAUGAUGCAUAGCCGAGUUGAGAGACUGAUCGGCCACAUUGGGACUGAGACACGGCCCAAACUCCUACGGGAGGCUGCAGUAGGGAAUCUUCCACAAUGGGCGAAAGCCUGAUGGAGCAACGCCGCGUGUGUGAUGAAGGCUUUCGGGUCGUAAAGCACUGUUGUAUGGGAAGAACAGCUAGAAUAGGAAAUGAUUUUAGUUUGACGGUACCAUACCAGAAAGGGACGGCUAAAUACGUGCCAGCAGCCGCGGUAAUACGUAUGUCCCGAGCGUUAUCCGGAUUUAUUGGGCGUAAAGCGAGCGCAGACGGUUUAUUAAGUCUGAUGUGAAAGCCCGGAGCUCAACUCCGGAAUGGCAUUGGAAACUGGUUAACUUGAGUGCAGUAGAGGUAAGUGGAACUCCAUGUGUAGCGGUGGAAUGCGUAGAUAUAUGGAAGAACACCAGUGGCGAAGGCGGCUUACUGGACUGCAACUGACGUUGAGGCUCGAAAGUGUGGGUAGCAAACAGGAUUAGAUACCCUGGUAGUCCACACCGUAAACGAUGAACACUAGGUGUUAGGAGGUUUCCGCCUCUUAGUGCCGAAGCUAACGCAUUAAGUGUUCCGCCUGGGGAGUACGACCGCAAGGUUGAAACUCAAAGGAAUUGACGG
rnacentral:rRNA from 1 species